GUGCCCGCUUCAGCAGCACAUAUACUAAAAUUGGAAGGAUACAGGAAGAUUAGAAGGUCCCUGAGCAAGGAUAACAUGCAGUUUGGGAAAUGUUCUGUAUUUUU
rnacentral:snRNA from 1 species